CAAUAAUCCACGCAAAAUUGAUGAGUCCCGUUAGGUUUGGGAACUAAGACGAUCAGCAAACUCCACUCGCUCUGACUCAGUUCGAUGAAAUCUUCGUUGAGCAUGGCCUCCACUGCCUUCUGGACCUGUCUAGCUUUGUAAAGUUGUAUUUCCAUAAAAGCCAUUGAACAAAUGGAGCAGUGAGACUGAUUGAGUGGCUGUUUCCACAGGAUGGCAUAGACACAACCAGCCAAAUGCCCGCCAGGUUGGAAAUCCAUGGGAAUCUCCCAGCUCAGGUUGGAAUCCUGUAAACUGCACUUCUCAUCUUUCCUGAUUUGAACCAUGUUCCAACAGAAUUAAUUCAUUUUGACAUGAGCGCAGAAGGUUUUAAACCAAAACUGCACAGAAGCAUUGACCGAAUGCGAUCAGCCAUGCACGGUGGAAGACUCCAGCAGUACACCAGAGCUUCAAGAGAGUCAAAGGACAAAGGUUAGUAUAGUGGUGAUCACUGAGGAGAAAGUGCUGGUGAAGCUGAAAAGUCUGGAAAUAGUUAAAUCGCUCUGGACUGAAUCCCAGUGUUUUGAAGGAUAUAGCUGAGGAGA